rnacentral:misc_RNA from 1 species
GAUGAAGAACGCAGCGAAAUGCGAUAAGUAGUGUGAAUUGCAGAAUUCAGUGAAUCAUCGAAUCUUUGAACGCACAUUGCGCCCCUUGGUAUUCCAUGGGGCAUGCCUGUUCGAGCGUCAUUUGUACCUUCAAGCUCUGCUUGGUGUUGGGUGUUUGUCUCGCCUCUGCGUGUAGACUCGCCUCAAAACAAUUGGCAGCCGGCGUAUUGAUUUCGGAGCGCAGUACAUCUCGCGCUUUGCACUCAUAACGACGACGUCCAAAAGUACAUCUUUACACUCUUGACCUCGGAUCAGGUAGGGAUACCCGCUGAACUUAAGCAUAUCAAUAAGCGGAGGA